AUUUAUAUAGUUUAAACAAAACAUUAUAUUUUCACUGUAAAAACAAUACAAAUGUAUUUAUAAAUA
rnacentral:tRNA from 2 species